rnacentral:rRNA from 1 species
GACGAACUGUUCUAACGUUAUUCGGAAUCACUGGGCUUAAAGGGCGCGUAGGCUGUUUGUUAAGCGGGGUCUGAAAUCCCUCGGCUCAACCGAGGAACUGGGCUUCGAACUGGCAGACUAGAGUGAAGUAGGGGUAAGCGGAACUUGCGGUGGAGCGGUGAAAUGCUUUGAUAUCGCAAGGAACACCGGCGGCGAAGGCGGCUUACUGGGCUUCAACUGACGCUUAAGCGCGAAAGCUAGGGUAGCGAACGGGAUUAGAUACCCCCGUAGUCCCUGAGCGGGCUGGCAA